AUUGAACGCUGGCGGCAUGCCUUACACAUGCAAGUCGAACGGUAACAGGGAGCUUGCUCCGCUGACGAGUGGCGAAACGGGUGAGUAAUGUAUCGGAACGUACCAUUCAGUGGGGGAUAACGUAGCGAAAGUUACGCUAAUACCGCAUAUUCUGUGAGCAGGAAAGCAGGGGAUCGCAAGACCUUGCGCUGAUUGAGCGGCCGAUAUCAGAUUAGCUAGUUGGUGAGGUAAAGGCUCACCAAGGCGACGAUCUGUAGCGGGUCUGAGAGGAUGAUCCGCCACACUGGAACUGAGACACGGUCCAGACUCCUACGGGAGGCAGCAGUGGGGAAUUUUGGACAAUGGGGGCAACCCUGAUCCAGCCAUGCCGCGUGAGUGAAGAAGGCCCUCGGGUUGUAAAGCUCUUUCGGCCGGGAAGAAAUCGCAUGGGUUAAUACCCUGUGCGGAUGACGGUACCGGCAAUAAGAAGCACCGGCUAACUACGUG
rnacentral:rRNA from 1 species